UAUUAAAAGUUUCAUCCAUUUCUACUGUUAAAAGCUAACAUGGCUAACAGAAUAAUUAGAUAGGCGUGCCAUGUGUACCUCAUUCUGAUGUACUGGGACCAGUUUUUAAUAGUAGAAAUUGAUGAAAUUUUUAACA
rfam:Gossypium raimondii Chr08_contig_1316, whole genome shotgun sequence.